GAGCCCCACGCCUUCUCUCAACAACGCCCUCCUCUUCCUCGUUCUCAUCUCGCCCGGGCCCGGCGGAGGAACCUGUACGGCGGCUGAGCAGCACAGGAAGGGCAAGGGGCACCGGCGGCGUCGAUUUCGUGCCCCUCAGGUUGGUUCUCUUCCGCCGUCGGCUUCGGCUCGGCGCCACCGCGGGGAAAGGAGUGGCACAGACGGUGUCCCCUUCGACCGAUGGAUCCCUUCGCCCCGCGGGAUAUGCCCGCUUCAAAGGGAUGGACGCAAGCAGCGGGGAGCAACAGGGGCGGUGCCUGUCGAACCGAGCUAGAAGGUACGAUGCGCGAAGCGCGAUAGCCUAUCGCGCCGCUGCAGCCAGCACCCGCCGCCGGCUCCUCCUUCCCCACCAUCCGGGUCGCCUCGCCGGAAUCUCGGUCCCCAUCGGUGCAGGUCACCUUGACAGCACCUACGUCCUCACCAACCCAGGCAAGAUCACUGUUCCCGGCCUCCUCUCUUCCUCUCCCGGUCCAUAUUGCUCUUAGCUUUAGUUAAUUGAUUGCAUAACUUAGUUCAGUUGCUAACUGUGUGACUUGUAGGCUAGCUAGGGAAUCUUGUGGGUUCUUCUCAUUUCCCUCCCAGAUAGUGAGAUGUUCUUUGAUUUGUACUUUGUGUUUGACGCUAGCAUGAGUUCGGCGUGUACAGGGAAGAGGUUGCGAGAAGAUUGGUUCAAAUCUUGGUGAAGACCAAGGUAGUUGUAAUGUGGAUACAGGAAAAAAAUGCUUAGACAAUGUCAAGCAGGUCCAAAUGAUGUUCAAACUGGAGACCUUCUUCUAACCAUUAAAAAGGCAAAGUAUUCGGCACGCUUAUUUAUUCAUUUUACCGAGCAUGGUUGUUUUGAAACUAAUAUGGUGCUUUUUGGGCAUUGUUGAUGUUGGAGAAAGCGGUGGUACUACAGUGGACGAUGUUGCAUCCUCUAUGCAGGUAAGAGUUUUGUCUAAAUAAACUUUUCAUUGGUACAUGUCAUGUUUCUAAAUAACCUUUUAUGUUCCUUACUAUGGUAGUUUAGAAAGGAUUUAGCACAGAUUAAAAAAGGUCAUUGCAAUUGUCCUUGUAUAGAUAACUAGCUCACCUUUCUAAUUUCAGUUUUUGGUUAUUAUUGAUUCCCACUAUCCACUCUCAUAUGGAAAGGCAGAUUAUUCUCUCCAAUCAGGCCAUUCAUAUAUUUAUCCCUGGUGGGCACACACAUACUCGUGUGCAGUUGGAGACGGAUGUAAAUGAUUUUCAUUCACCUGUGAAGAUGCCUGUAUUCCUUGCAACAGUUUUCCGUGAUUGGACAUUUCCGAAUUAGUGAGAGAGGUUGGGUAGAAGCUCGUCAUGACGUGUUUUUCUUUAAUUUCCUUUCUCCAACUAAGCUAUCAUCUCGAAAUAUUUUCUUUUUUGCAUUGCUACGACAGAAGUGUGUGGCUGCGCGGGAGCGGUGUUUUGGAACAUGGGUGCAUAUGCUCCCUAUAUUUUGAAAUGCAUCUUACAUACAUUUUAAAUUUCAAAAAAAAUUGAAACUAAAAGUUCGUACGUACAUCUUCACAUGCUACGUGCUCACAAAGUCGUUUCAUAAAAAAUCAACUUAUCAUGUGACGUGUGUAAAAAAGACAAAAUUCAGUGCUAAAAAUAAUGCUUUUCACAAGAUAAACUUUCUCUUUUUUAUGUAGACCACAAAAAAUAUUGGUUUUGCGUGAAACUUGACAAACGCGCAUAUAUUAUGGAGAUGUACAUGUAGAAUUUUUUGUCUAAAUUUUUCGGUAUUUCGAAAUAUGAUUUUUUGGUAGAGGGAGCAUACGCACCCGGGAGCCGAAUUGAAUUUCCGGUGGCUGCGAGGAGGAGAAAUAUAUAAAAAGGAAACUGUGCUGUCACGGAGUUGUAAAUAUUGGUGCGGCUUCAUUGGUGGCUCAUGGCCCUUUGUAAGUUCAUGCAAUGCUACUACUCGAUGACCAGUUCAAUAUUUUGCUCCUGGCCCUUUGUAAGUUCACGCAUUGCUACUACUUGAUGACCAGUUCAGUAUUUUACUCCAUGACUUGUGUUUACAUGUACAUGGAUUGUGGUGCCCAGCAUAUGAAUUAGUCCCCAACCAAGGUAUUUUACUUAUCCCCAUCUUUAAUUCGUUGGUUUGGACAGUUCUUGCCAUCUGGAAUCCUGUGUCAGCAGCAACUGCUUCAACUAAGGUAAUUGCUUUCUCCUCUUUAAGAAGCAAGAAAGUUUUAUAUUCAAUCUUUGUUCCCACUGGGUUCUGUGUCCUGCAUUUGCAUGUGAUAGAUUAAAUUUCUACAUGGUUGUUAAUUUUUAGGCCUGUUAUUAGUCCAUAUGCGUAGGUUUUCUUUUUAUUCAUUUUGGGACAUUGUGUGCUUCCUCUGUGUUUAUUAAUUGUUCAGCUCUACCUCUUAUUCAUUCGGUAGUGUGACUUGCAUGUGUACCACAGUUAUGUAGAUAAAGGAAUUUAUCUCAUCCCUUUAGGUAUUCACACGUGACUGAAUAACAAUUCUUGUGCUUAUGCUCAGUAGUUGGAUAUGCUUUGGUUUGCAUCACAAACUGUGUAGAGCUUUCUUCGAAUAUGUAUAUAUUUUGUUAGUUCGUUGGUUUGUCAGUUCCUUCAAAGCAAAUGGUUUGAAAGAAUUACUUAUGUAACUCGUUUAAUUUCUAUUCACAUGAUGGUGCUUGUAACACUUUCUACAUAGUGAUAUCUACUCUACCAUGAUAUGAUAUCAGGAUAUGUCAAGAGGCUCUGUUGUGCUAUUUUUCUUUUCCGAAAUAAAAUAUUUGUUUGUGUUUAGUUUGGACCUUCAUGUACAAACAUAGCGUUUCCAAGUCCUUUGUCAAUGUCAAAUUACAGGGCACUUUUAAUAGUGUGUUACAGGAAAAAAAAUGUUGCUUCUAGCCCAAUUUAGAUUGUUGUUAUAAUUAUCAUCUAUGCCUGGAUGUCCUAUUUGGAGUGAUUACGCUGAACCAUGUGGGGCUCAGGAUAAAAUAAUCAUUCAGUAACAAAGGAAUGAUUCAUGGAUGAUAAAGACAAUUGCAGUUUUGCUACUUUUUUCUGUUUACCACUAACUUUAGGUUUUUAGUGUUUUCACAGGUUGCUUGAUACAUACACCACCCUGAGUGCUACAAUCGUAGUUAUUAGGAUUAUGUAAAGUUUCCUCGUGAAUCUGUUGUGUAAGCGCCUUGCAGUUUCUUGCAUUUUAUGAGAUUUCAUUAUGGAACUUAACAUAGAACCUGCUUCCAUUAACUAGGAUCGCUUCAGUGAAUCCCUUUUAUGAAACUGCAUAUAACUAAAUCUUAAUAAUUUCAAUAGGUAACUUUCUUAUAUUUCAGAGAGAAGUAAGUUUGCUAAUUGCCUAUUUUAAUUGUAAUACCUGCCAUGUUAUUCUCUGGAAUUUAUAGCAUUUUAUUUUUCUGCUUGAGAAGGUUGUAUCGAGAGCUGUACAACUCUAUUGAGAUAUUUGAUGUAUGUUAAAUCAGAAGUGCUGCUAUCCAUGUGCAAGACACUCAUACAUUUUGGUUUCCCUGGUGAUGUGCUUCAUCGACCACUGCUACGAAAGGCCUAUUUGAUUAGGAUUACAACAGAAAGAUAUGUAUAUAUGCAAGACAAGAUUAGUUCAAAACUCAGUCGAGCUAUCCUUUUGAAUUUCUUUCAUGCAAACAUGUUUUGCCUAGGUAAUGCUUCAAAUCACCAUGUACUAGAUUAGUUAAGAGUUUGGAAGCAUUCUUCAUGGUAUUGCCUUGCAAAAUUGAAUGUUAAGUUUGUGGUGUUCAGUAAA